GAUGAACGCUAGCUACAGGCUUAAGACAUGCAAGUCGAGGGACCGGCGCACGGGUGAGUAACACGUAUCCAACCUGCCCUUUACUCGGGGAUAGCCUUACGAAAGAAAGAUUAAUACCCGAUGUAAAGGAUGGGGAUGCGUUCCAUUAGGUUGUUGGUGAGGUAACGGUACCCCAAGCCUUCUAUGGAUAGGGGUUCUGAGAGGAAGGUCCCCCACAUUGGAACUGAGACACGGUCCAAACGCGUACGGGAGGCAGCAGUGACUACUAUUGGUCAAUGGGCGUUAGCCUGAACCAGCCAAUUAGCGUGAAGGAUGAAGGCUUAUGGGUCGUAAACUUCUUUUAUAUAAGAAUAUGUAUUAUAUGAAUAAGGAUCGGCUAACUCCGUGCCAGCAGCCGCGGUAAUAC
rnacentral:rRNA from 1 species